GGGCUUGUCCACCCCACUCAGUGUUUUAAAAUCUCAUUACAAAUUUUUUUUUCUAAUCAUUAAAAUGUUUUAUUUUCUAAAAAGGAAUUUUCAUAUCAACUGCAUAUGCAAGAGCAAGAGGGGCUGGCGGGAUGUCUUCUUUGGGUGAUUUUGUUGCAUUAUCUGAUGUUGUGAUGUCCCAACUGCGAAAAUUAUCUCCAGAGAAGGGUCUGAUGGCAUCAUUACAAAAAUUUUCAAACAGAAAAUUUGAAAUAAGAGC
rnacentral:lncRNA from 1 species